rnacentral:ncRNA from 1 species
UUUUAUAUAUAUAAAUUUGAUUCUGGUUUAUUAAAGAUUGCUUUUUGAUGAAUUUAACAUGUAAAUAUUAGUAUGAAUGAUAUAUUAUUUUAAAAAUAAUUAUAUUUUAAUUUAUUCGCAGUUUUUAAUAUUAUAUAUUUAAUGAUUUAAGAUAUAGUUAAUUGUUAUAUGACUAGCAAAAGUUGUGCCAGCAGCUGCGGUUAUACAUCUAGUUAAAGUUAUUUUUAUUGAAUUAAUUAUUUUAUUUAUUUUUAAUUUUGAUAAUAAUUUAUUUAUUUUUAGGUGAAAUUUAAAUUUUUUUAAAUUAUCAGGUUUAAUUAAUUAUAAGAAAUUUUUAUUUUAAACUAGGAUUAGAUACCCUAUUAUAAAAAAUGUAAAUAUUUUAUCUAGUAUUAUAAGUUAUGAUCUUUAAAUUGAAAGAAUUUGACGGUAAUUUGAUCAUUUUAGAGGAACCUGUUCUGUAAUUGAUAAUCCACGAUAAAUUUUACCUUAAUUUUUAACUUGUAUAUCUCUGUUUGGUAGAAUGUUUUAUAAGGAUAUUUUCAUAUUAUUUUAUAGAAUUUAAUGUCAGGUCAAGGUGCAGUUAUAUUAAGGAUUGAAAUGGGUUACAUUUAAUUUUAUUAUUGGGAUAAUUUUAUAUAUUUAUUUUAUUAAAUUGGAUUUAAUUGUAAUGUUUAAUAUAUUUUAUUCAUGAUAUAUGUUCUUGAUUAAGUACAUAUCGCCCGUCACUCUCAUUAUUUAUAAGUGAGAUAAGUCGUAACAAAGUAGUUUUAUCGGAAGAUGAAUCUGGAAUUAUUA